GUGGUUUACCGCCCUUUCCCCCGUUUGACCCGCUUUAAAAUCCAACAAAUACUGGUCUUAGAUGGCGAAAAUGGCUUCGCCGGUUUGAAAAUCUCCUAAUAAGCCUUCGUGAAACCGAUCCAACCGUUAAAAGAGGUCUUUUGCUAACGUAUGUGGGAGAAACAUCAAACGAUAUUUUUUAUACAUUGCCAAGCACUGGCACAGACAAUGAUUCAGCUGUACAAAGUUUAACCGAACGUUUCGACCCAGCUAUUAAUAAGGACAUGGAAAUAUACGAAUUUCGUCAAAUUACUCAAUCAUCAGGAGAAACACUCAAUGAAUUUUACCGUCGUUUAAAGGAAAAAGCCAGUACAUGAGAAUUUGAUAACGAGGAAGCGGAAAUACGAACUCAAAUAAUCAACAUAAAACAUCG